UAUCAUAAUGGAUUUUUGCAACAGCCGCGCAGACCUGCUCUUGGGGACUGGGCAGGGUAACGGAGGGUUUGGCCGGUACCUAGGGGGACAGGCAUUCCCUCACUGCGAAGCCGGCUUUGUCUGGUGCGGACAUCCCCAGGCGAGGGUGCGGUGGCCGCGCCGGAGGGCCUCGCCCACUGCAGGGGUGCGAUUCCUGUGACUCAGCUUUCGAGCCGGCCGAGGGCCUUCGCCCCACCCCGGCCCUCUUUGUCUCCUCAACCGGCUUCUCCUGAAAUUGGGUGGGAGUAAAGCACCCUUAAGUGAUUCUUUUCCCAAAAGCUGCCUCACUGUAACAGGCGCAUUUUUUGAUCGCUGUAAUUUUUUUUAAGCGAGCGCCCGAAUCAAAUAACCGGAGUAUUUGCUGGUUGGAGGUUCAUCUACCUGCAUUUUAUAGCGUACGACGCCUCCUGGCUUAGAAAAGUAAGUCAAGUUCAAGCUCUGCUAUUGACUUGCUGCAUGACAAUAAGGAAGUUUUUACUUUCCUGUUCCUUAUUUUGCUAAAUAUAAAAGCGAUUGCUAAGGAGGCUCGUGUCCAGUGCCAAAGACUGCAAUACCAGCAUCUCUGAAAUCGAAAGAUUAAAUUUAACCAUCUCACUCUGUCUUGAAGAGAGCCUUUGCAGCACAAGAUGUUUUUGAAGUGCACUUCUAAGUUACAUCCGGAAAUAUGGGAGAUUUCGAUAGAGAAGAGCAAUUUUCAAAAUGGCACCUUGCCUAGGCCAAACACGGGGCAAAUGAAACACCAGGAAAGGAUGCUUGAGUUCUAGGCUUUUACUGUGGCAUUUACAGCCGGGACUCGAUUGUCUGAACUGGAAAGGUGACAUGGACAAUGGAGAUUCACAGACCGUCCACAACACCAAUCCAAUAGCCAAAAGAUGGAAAGAGCCAAAUGCCCAUGGAUGAAUGAAUGGAUAGAUGACAGGUAGUGUAGUCAUCCAGUGGGACAGUAGUCCGCCAUAAAAAGGAGCGAAGUCUGUGCACGCUACAACAUGGGUGAACCUGGAGAGACGCUGAGUGAAAGAAGCCGGUCACAGGAACUGCUAAUGCUAGCGAGCUUCCUUGCUAUUAUGGACUGAACGUUUGUCUGAAGGAAGGCAGCUGUCCAUAAGUCAAGCAAGAAACAGGUUCUCAUCAGGAGCCAAAUGCGCCUGUGCCUUGAUCUUGGACUUCCCAGCCUCCGGAAUGGUGAGAAAUUCAUGUGUGUUGUUUAAGCUGCUGUUUGCCUGGAGUUUUGUUAGGGCAGCCCACGCUCAGAGAGUCGCCCGGCGUUCUCGAAGGAAAGGCUAAUGCUCUUUGAGGGGAAUGAAAAGAUAUAAUCUUUUUCCUUUCUAAAUUUAUGGACUCCCUGGAUUGUCUGCAAAGCUCUCCUGGAUGUCUGUGGGCCCUAGUUUGUCGAAGGGGGGGGGGUGUCUCUCAAAUGAGAAAAAGUCACCAGUAGAAUUUCUGGGAGGGAAUGGGAAGAGAUGGUGGGGUCGCCUUCUAUGGACCAGAUAAACCACCAAAUAUUUGCUUUGGAAAUGUAAUUCCCCAUACUAGUGGUUUACUCCAAAGGGCUUAGGCACCAGCUCAGAGCAACCAGUCAGUGGGACAACAGUUGGGAGAAAAAAAAAAAAAAAAAAGACCAGCUUAUAGGUGUCACCUUACAUCUUGGGCUCCAAUAAUGCCUUACGUAAUACAAGUCACAUUUAUCCGGUGUCUGUGAACUUUGUCAAUGCACUUUUUCAUCGUUUGUGUCAUUUUAUCCUUAAAGCAGCCUUAUGCAGAUAAAAGGCCUGGUAUUGGUAUGAAUUUUUUUUUUGCAGAGGAAGAAACCCAGCCCACAGAGGAUAAGUGACUUGCCCAAGGAUGAUUCUUGGUAUUGGAGGUGUUCCUGAGGCUAAGUAAACAGCAGCAUGCCUGGG